AUUGAACGCUGGCGGCAGGCCUAACACAUGCAAGUCGAGCGGAUGAAGGGAGCUUGCUCCUGGAUUCAGCGGCGGACGGGUGAGUAAUGCCUAGGAAUCUGCCUGGUAGUGGGGGAUAACGUCCGGAAACGGGCGCUAAUACCGCAUACGUCCUGAGGGAGAAAGUGGGGGAUCUUCGGACCUCACGCUAUCAGAUGAGCCUAGGUCGGAUUAGCUAGUUGGUGGGGUAAAGGCCUACCAAGGCGACGAUCCGUAACUGGUCUGAGAGGAUGAUCAGUCACACUGGAACUGAGACACGGUCCAGACUCCUACGGGGGGCAGCAGUGGGGAAUAUUGGACAAUGGGCGAAAGCCUGAUCCAGCCAUGCCGCGUGUGUGAAGAAGGUCUUCGGAUUGUAAAGCACUUUAAGUUGGGAGGAAGGGCAGUAAGUUAAUACCUUGCUGUUUUGGCGUUACCAGCAGAAUAAGCACCGGCUAACUUCGUG
rnacentral:rRNA from 1 species